rnacentral:rRNA from 1 species
UGGCGAACGGGUGAAGUAACACGUGGGUAAUCUGCCCUGCACUCUGGGAUAAGCCUGGGAAACUGGGUCUAAUACUGGAUAUGACCUUUCUCCUUAUGGGGUUUGGUGGAAAGUUUUUCGGUGUAGGAUGAGCCCGCGGCCUAUCAGCUUGUUGGUGGGGUGAUGGCCUACCAAGGCGACGACGGGUAGCCGGCCUGAGAGGGUGAUCGGCCACAUUGGGACUGAGAUACGGCCCAG